rnacentral:rRNA from 1 species
CAGUCGCCACGGGAACACGAAGGGGGCUAGCGUUGUUCGGAUUUACUGGGCGUAAAGCGCACGUAGGCGGAUCGAUCAGUCAGGGGUGAAAUCCCAGAGCUCAACUCUGGAACUGCCUUUGAUACUGUCGAUCUGGAGUAUGGGAGAGGUGAGUGGAAUUCCGAGUGUAGAGGUGAAAUUCGUAGAUAUUCGGAGGAACACCAGUGGCGAAGGCGGCUCACUGGUCCAUUACUGACGCUGAGGUGCGAAAGCGUGGGGAGCAAACAGGAUUAGAUACCCCUGUAGUCCCUGUCUCUUAUAC